UUUAUCUUCGACGAGCGAUGCGAUGGGAGCUUCGCUCCCUGCAGAUUAGCGGCGGACGGGUGAGUAACACGUGGGCAACCUGCCUAUAAGACUGGGAUAACUUCGGGAAACCGGAGCUAAUACCGGAUACGUUCUUUUCUCGCAUGAGAGAAGAUGGAAAGACGGUUUACGCUGUCACUUAUAGAUGGGCCCGCGGCGCAUUAGCUAGUUGGUGAGGUAAUGGCUCACCAAGGCGACGAUGCGUAGCCGACCUGAGAGGGUGAUCGGCCACACUGGGACUGAGACACGGCCCAGACUCCUACGGGAGGCAGCAGUAGGGAAUCUUCCGCAAUGGACGAAAGUCUGACGGAGCAACGCCGCGUGAACGAAGAAGGCCUUCGGGUCGUAAAGUUCUGUUGUUAGGGAAGAACAAGUACCAGAGUAACUGCUGGUACCUUGACGGUACCUAACCAGAAAGCCACGGCUAACUACGUGCCAGCAGCCGCGGUAAUACGUAGGUGGCAAGCGUUGUCCGGAAUUAUUGGGCGUAAAGCGCGCGCAGGUGGUUCCUUAAGUCUGAUGUGAAAGCCCACGGCUCAACCGUGGAGGGUCAUUGGAAACUGGGGAACUUGAGUGCAGAAGAGGAAAGUGGAAUUCCAAGUGUAGCGGUGAAAUGCGUAGAGAUUUGGAGGAACACCAUUGGCGAAGGCGACUUUCUGGUCUGUAACUGACACUGAGGCGCGAAAGCGUGGGGAGCAAACAGGAUUAUAUACCCUGGUAUCCACGCCGUAAACGAUGAGUGCUAAGUGUUAGAGGGUUCCGCCCUUUAGUGCUGCAGCUAACGCAUUAAGCACUCCGCCUGGGGAGUACGGCCGCAGGCUGAUAU
rnacentral:rRNA from 2 species